CCCAGCAGCACAGGCUGGCUGCAGCUGGCUGCUCAUUUCCUUGUGGAUCUACUGGAACCGGAUUAGGACAGAUACAAGCUCCAAGACACAGGACAUCCAAAAAUCCUCCAGAUGAGGACUCUUACUUUAAGAAUCCUGUCUACUAUCCAGGAAAAUAAGCUGAGAGUUAGCCCCCACAUGCACACCACCCCAGCGACCACAAGUGCCAACUGCAGAGGAAGUCAUCUCAACUUUAGGUUGUUGCAUACCCACUACAGACAGAAGCUGAUUGUCCAUAAACAACAAUAAUCGCAGCUCUUUGCAAAAAAGAACACAGAACAGCAACCCGCGUCUGCAGCUGAUUAAUGAGUUUCUCUUUUUCAUGACAUUCAGCAUCCAGAGUCGUGUUCUCCCGACGCAGUGACAGCACCUCCUGCUUUGCUCUUUGACAUUCCUAGAAUGGUGGGAAGGAAUAAUUUCAUUUUAAUUUUUUUUAAGAAAACCCAUAAUAGCAAUUUAAACAGAUAUAUCUAAAUAGCAAGCAUAAUGUGGAACAAAGAGGAGCUGAACAAACUUAAUAUGCUAUAUUUUCUAUUACAUGCAUAGGCAGGCAGUGUUAAUGCUCUAAAAUAGUUUGGUUACGGAAAUUAAUAAC